UGUCGGCAAGUGUUGAUCGUCAUGUCUUGGUUCAGCUUGCAUGGCCUGAAAAGGGACUCCGAACGCAACAUUUCGGGUCUUAAUGCAGCACUCGCCACAAGAAAUCAAAACAAAAUUAGGCGAAGCAGUCGACCCAGAGGGAAAUGUAUGUAUUGGUUCAAUUUUGAUUCUUUUUUCGAUCUAAAAAUAUUAAAUUUUUAACAAUGAAAUUUUGUCGCCUAUUUCAGGUUUUAAACAUGGCGGCCGUUGUAGAGGUUAUUGGACUUCUUGAGCGUACUCCGCUAACAAAGGAAGCUUUAGAG